AACGAACGCUGGCGGCAUGCCUAACACAUGCAAGUCGAACGAGACCUUCGGGUCUAGUGGCGCACGGGUGCGUAACGCGUGGGAACCUGCCCUUAGGUUCGGAAUAACUCCCCGAAAGGGGUUCUAAUACCGGAUAAUGUCUUCGGACCAAAGAUUUAUCGCCUUUGGAUGGGCCCGCGUUGGAUUAGCUAGUUGGUAGGGUAAAACCCUACCAAGGCGACGAUCCAUAGCUGGUCUGAGAGGAUGAUCAGCCACACUGGGACUGAGACACGGCCCAGACUCCUACGGGAGGAAGCAGUGGGGAAUAUUGGACAAUGGGCGAAAGACUGAGCCAGCAAUGCCGCGUGAGUGAUGAAGGCCUUAGGGUUGUAAAGCUCUUUUAACCGGGAUGAUAAUGACAGUACCGGGAGAAUAAGCUCCGGCUAACUCCGUG
rnacentral:rRNA from 1 species